UGCAACUCGACUCCAUGAAGCUGGAUUCGCUAGUAAUCGCGCAUCAGCCAUGGCGCGGUGAAUACGUUCUCGGGCCUUGUACACACCGCCCGUCACACCAUGGGAGUCGGUAACACCCGAAGUCUGUAGCCUGACGCAAGAGGGCGCAGCCGAAGGUGGGAUUGAUGACUGGGGUGAAGUCGUAACAAGGUAAC
rnacentral:rRNA from 1 species